CUCUCUUGACUCUCAAAGGCAGCACCUGUGGGUGUCCGUGUCACUGUGUCAGCAAAUCCAGAAAGGAGGCAGGGCUCAAAGACAGUGUGAAGAGAAUGGCAAAAUCUGAUUUUUGGAGAACAAAGCUGAAGCUGAGGUUGGGACACAGUUGGACAGCAAAAUAGUAAUAAGAGGUGCAAAUUUGGACAGGAAUGAGACCGCUCAAAUUACCCGCUCAAACCAGAUGUCAAAGCUCCAGGGCCUGAUCUAACAGACAUCACAAGACAGGUGCAGUGCCACUGAGCUAUACUCCGGCUCCUAUUGACUGUAUUUUUCCCUGUGUGUGUAGACUGUACUACUAAGUUUCCUGUAACUUUUCUUAAAAGCUUCCCUGAAGUCAGCAUCUUUCCUCUGCCAUGCCCUUCCCUCAUGAUGUUUCUGCCUUGGAGCCAGCCAGUCAUGGAAUAAAUUCCCAUAAACUCUGAGCCAAAUGAAAUUCAUCCUUGAAGUGAUGGGUGUCUGGUAUUGUGUCACAGAGAUGAGAAAGCUGAUUAAUGCAGUCACUGUAAAAACGAAAUUUAAAAGCACAAUUAGAGAACAGAAACACCAGAACUAGCAUUGAAGGACGAGGAGCUCCACGGAUAUUCAGUGCAGCUGGGAAAGGAUUUUGGGGAAAGCAUAAGUAGAAGAAAAAGUUACUAAAAAACAAAAGCAUUUCAAGUCUCUGGAAAUUUUCUUAAGGGCAGAGCUCAAAUAAGGGCAUUGGAGAAAUAUUUAGGUUGGAAAAUCUACAAAAUCUCUAGAGAAACUCUGUAGAUCCCUGGGAUUUAAACCGCAAACUGCUCCCUCUACUUGCAGCUAAGCACUAUAAAAGCUGAACUUCAUGCAGGUUUGGCCAAGAAGCCAGAGCUUGCUCUUUCCCCAGCUUCCAGUCAAGGGCCACAAUGUCUCAAUAAGAGGGAUGGGUCACCAGAAUCUCUCAUCUUGGCUAGUCCUGCAUUUAAGGGAAUAAAUUAUAUAUGAAAACAAUUUAGAAGGCAGUCAGGGGCACCCCUCCACAUGGUGCCUAUUCAUAAGGCAGAGAUUCUAAUCCAGGCAUGUGAGAUAAAGAAUAUUGAGAAUCCCAAAAACUUUAGCUCAGCCUUAUUUCUAAAAUUCAGGUUUCACAAAAUAGAGAUAAACCAAGAAGAGGAUAUAACUAUCUUAUAGUACUCUGUUCAUAAAAUCAAACAGUUACCUGAGGAGGAGCCAAUAUUCUUGCCCCAGUUCUGU
rnacentral:lncRNA from 1 species